rnacentral:rRNA from 12 species
GGGUUGUGAGGUUAAGCGACUAAGCGUACACGGUGGAUGCCCUGGCAGUCAGAGGCGAUGAAGGACGUGCUAAUCUGCGAUAAGCGUCGGUAAGGUGAUAUGAACCGUUAUAACCGGCGAUUUCCGAAUGGGGAAACCCAGUGUGAUUCGUCACACUAUCAUUAACUGAAUCCAUAGGUUAAUGAGGCGAACCGGGGGAACUGAAACAUCUAAGUACCCCGAGGAAAAGAAAUCAACCGAGAUUCCCCCAGUAGCGGCGAGCGAACGGGGAGCAGCCCAGAGCCUGAAUCAGUGUGUGUGUUAGUGGAAGCGUCUGGAAAGGCGUGCGAUACAGGGUGACAGCCCCGUACACAAAAAUGCACAUACUGUGAGCUCGAUGAGUAGGGCGGGACACGUGGUAUCCUGUCUGAAUAUGGGGGGACCAUCCUCCAAGGCUAAAUACUCCUGACUGACCGAUAGUGAACCAGUACCGUGAGGGAAAGGCGAAAAGAACCCCGGCGAGGGGAGUGAAAAAGAACCUGAAACCGUGUACGUACAAGCAGUGGGAGCACGCUUAGGCGUGUGACUGCGUACCUUUUGUAUAAUGGGUCAGCGACUUAUAUUCUGUAGCAAGGUUAACCGAAUAGGGGAGCCGAAGGGAAACCGAGUCUUAACUGGGCGUUAAGUUGCAGGGUAUAGACCCGAAACCCGGUGAUCUAGCCAUGGGCAGGUUGAAGGUUGGGUAACACUAACUGGAGGACCGAACCGACUAAUGUUGAAAAAUUAGCGGAUGACUUGUGGCUGGGGGUGAAAGGCCAAUCAAACCGGGAGAUAGCUGGUUCUCCCCGAAAGCUAUUUAGGUAGCGCCUCGUGAAUUCAUCUCCGGGGGUAGAGCACUGUUUCGGCAAGGGGGUCAUCCCGACUUACCAACCCGAUGCAAACUGCGAAUACCGGAGAAUGUUAUCACGGGAGACACACGGCGGGUGCUAACGUCCGUCGUGAAGAGGGAAACAACCCAGACCGCCAGCUAAGGUCCCAAAGUCAUGGUUAAGUGGGAAACGAUGUGGGAAGGCCCAGACAGCCAGGAUGUUGGCUUAGAAGCAGCCAUCAUUUAAAGAAAGCGUAAUAGCUCACUGGUCGAGUCGGCCUGCGCGGAAGAUGUAACGGGGCUAAACCAUGCACCGAAGCUGCGGCAGCGACGCUUAUGCGUUGUUGGGUAGGGGAGCGUUCUGUAAGCCUGUGAAGGUGUGCUGUGAGGUAUGCUGGAGGUAUCAGAAGUGCGAAUGCUGACAUAAGUAACGAUAAAGCGGGUGAAAAGCCCGCUCGCCGGAAGACCAAGGGUUCCUGUCCAACGUUAAUCGGGGCAGGGUGAGUCGACCCCUAAGGCGAGGCCGAAAGGCGUAGUCGAUGGGAAACAGGUUAAUAUUCCUGUACUUGGUGUUACUGCGAAGGGGGGACGGAGAAGGCUAUGUUGGCCGGGCGACGGUUGUCCCGGUUUAAGCGUGUAGGCUGGUUUUCCAGGCAAAUCCGGAAAAUCAAGGCCGAGGCGUGAUGACGAGGCACUACGGUGCUGAAGCAACAAAUGCCCUGCUUCCAGGAAAAGCCUCUAAGCAUCAGGUAACAUCAAAUCGUACCCCAAACCGACACAGGUGGUCAGGUAGAGAAUACCAAGGCGCUUGAGAGAACUCGGGUGAAGGAACUAGGCAAAAUGGUGCCGUAACUUCGGGAGAAGGCACGCUGAUACGUAGGUGAAGCGACUUGCUCGUGGAGCUGAAAUCAGUCGAAGAUACCAGCUGGCUGCAACUGUUUAUUAAAAACACAGCACUGUGCAAACACGAAAGUGGACGUAUACGGUGUGACGCCUGCCCGGUGCCGGAAGGUUAAUUGAUGGGGUUAGCGCAAGCGAAGCUCUUGAUCGAAGCCCCGGUAAACGGCGGCCGUAACUAUAACGGUCCUAAGGUAGCGAAAUUCCUUGUCGGGUAAGUUCCGACCUGCACGAAUGGCGUAAUGAUGGCCAGGCUGUCUCCACCCGAGACUCAGUGAAAUUGAACUCGCUGUGAAGAUGCAGUGUACCCGCGGCAAGACGGAAAGACCCCGUGAACCUUUACUAUAGCUUGACACUGAACAUUGAGCCUUGAUGUGUAGGAUAGGUGGGAGGCUUUGAAGUGUGGACGCCAGUCUGCAUGGAGCCGACCUUGAAAUACCACCCUUUAAUGUUUGAUGUUCUAACGUGGACCCGUGAUCCGGGUUGCGGACAGUGUCUGGUGGGUAGUUUGACUGGGGCGGUCUCCUCCUAAAGAGUAACGGAGGAGCACGAAGGUUGGCUAAUCCUGGUCGGACAUCAGGAGGUUAGUGCAAUGGCAUAAGCCAGCUUGACUGCGAGCGUGACGGCGCGAGCAGGUGCGAAAGCAGGUCAUAGUGAUCCGGUGGUUCUGAAUGGAAGGGCCAUCGCUCAACGGAUAAAAGGUACUCCGGGGAUAACAGGCUGAUACCGCCCAAGAGUUCAUAUCGACGGCGGUGUUUGGCACCUCGAUGUCGGCUCAUCACAUCCUGGGGCUGAAGUAGGUCCCAAGGGUAUGGCUGUUCGCCAUUUAAAGUGGUACGCGAGCUGGGUUUAGAACGUCGUGAGACAGUUCGGUCCCUAUCUGCCGUGGGCGCUGGAGAACUGAGGGGGGCUGCUCCUAGUACGAGAGGACCGGAGUGGACGCAUCACUGGUGUUCGGGUUGUCAUGCCAAUGGCACUGCCCGGUAGCUAAAUGCGGAAGAGAUAAGUGCUGAAAGCAUCUAAGCACGAAACUUGCCCCGAGAUGAGUUCUCCCUGACCCUUUAAGGGUCCUGAAGGAACGUUGAAGACGACGACGUUGAUAGGCCGGGUGUGUAAGCGCAGCGAUGCGUUGAGCUAACCGGUACUAAUGAACCGUGAGGCUUAACCUUACAACGCCGAAG